GUCGGGUGUGGUGGCCCACACCUGUAAUCCCAGCUACUCAGGAGGCUGAGGCAGGAGAAUCGCUUGAACCUAGGAGGCGGAGGUUGCAGUGAGCCAAGAUCGCGCCACUGCACUCCAGCCUGGGUGACAGAGCUAGACUCUGUCUCAA
rnacentral:SRP_RNA from 1 species